GGCCGCAGUAUUUUAACUGUGCAAAGGUAGCAUAAUCAUUAGUCUUUUAAUUGAAGGCUGGAAUGAAUGGUUGGACGAAAUAUUAACUGUUUCAUAAAAAUUUAUAAUAAAAUUUUAUUUUUUAGUUAAAAAGCUAAAAUUUAUUUAAAAGACGAGAAGACCCUAUAAAUCUUUAUAUAUAAAUUAUUUUAAAUAAUUUGAAUUUAUUUUUUAUUAUAAGGUUUUAUAUUUUAUUGGGGUGAUAUUAAAAUUUAUUAAACUUUUAAUAUAUUUUUUCAUUAAUGUAUGUUUUUUUGAUCCGUUAUUAGCGAUUAAAAAUUUAAGUUACUUUAGGGAUAACAGCGUAAUAUUUUUGGAGAGUUCUUAUCGAUAAAAAAGAUUGCGACCUCGAUGUUGGAUU
rnacentral:rRNA from 1 species